rnacentral:rRNA from 1 species
CUCUGGGAUAACCUCCGGAAACGGAAGCUAAUACCGGAUAUGACGCACGGAGGCAUCUCCUGUGCGUGGAAAGAACUUCGGUCAAGGAUGGACUCGCGGCCUAUCAGGUAGUUGGUGAGGUAACGGCCCACCAAGCCUACGACGGGUAGCCGGCCUGAGAGGGUGACCGGCCACACUGGGACUGAGACACGGCCCAGACUCCUACGGGAGGCAGCAGUGGGGAAUAUUGCACAAUGGGCGCAAGCCUGAUGCAGCAACGCCGCGUGAGGGAUGACGGCCUUCGGGUUGUAAACCUCUUUUAGUAGGGAAGAAGCGAAAGUGACGGUACCUGCAGAAAAAGCACCGGCUAACUACGUGCCAGCAGCCGCGGUAAUACGUAGGGUGCGAGCGUUGUCCGGAAUUAUUGGGCGUAAAGAGCUCGUAGGCGGUCUGUCGCGUCUGCUGUGAAAACCCGAGGCUCAACCUCGGGCCUGCAGUGGGUACGGGCAGACUAGAGUGCGGUAGGGGAGAAUGGAAUUCCUGGUGUAGCGGUGGAAUGCGCAGAUAUCAGGAGGAACACCGAUGGCGAAGGCAGUUCUCUGGGCCGUAACUGACGCUGAGGAGCGAAAGCGUGGGGAGCGAACAGGAUUAGAUACCCUGGUAGUCCACGCCGUAAACGUUGGGCG